AAGGGGAGGUGGCGAGGUUCAUUUUCUUCAGGAGCGGUCUAGGCGUGGAACCUCGGCCUUCCACCGUCGACCGCGCUGUCCUCUCGUUUCUUGCCCUGCUCUCGUUGCCGCCCCCGCGCCGCUCCUUCGGAGAAAGUGCGGGCCUCCCCUCCGGCCCGACUCCAGGCGUGAUCCCACCUGCGCGAAGGAAGCGAAAACGCCCGCCGCCCGUCUCGCAGCAUUGCUCUCCGCAGCCUGUUUGGCUAUUCUUAAUAACACACAGUUGAUUGAGCACCUUAUGAUGUAUCAAGUUACGUGCCAAGUACUGGGAAUACAAAAUGGAGUGUGACAAGCUCUUGGACCUCAAAGAGUUCACGGUUUAGUUGGAGAGAUCGACAGAAACUGAUACUUUAAAGACCAGUUUGGUGAGUGGAUGAAUGUAGUGAGAACAGCGGCUGAAAUGAGCACUGAAUUCCAUAGGAAUGCCUGGGAAAGGCGUUUCGGAAAGAGAGACAUCCGUGACCUGAGAACUUGUGACUUGCACACAUUUUGCCUGUUACCUUGCCUUUGACUGUCCCUGGUGUGGAGAAAGCUCUUCCUUCACCUCUCAGCUCUGGGACUCAGGUGCUGCAUUUUAUGAGUGACAUUGACAAGCUGGAGUGUGCCAGAGAGGAGGAACAGGAUGGGAGGAGACACCUCAUUCUACUACCAACAUUUUAGGAAACACAUUGCUUAGCCUGAAAAAGGGUAGACAGGUACGGGUUAGGCCCUUAACCAUCCUGAUUUGCCCAGGACUGAGAAGGUUUCCAGACACAGAGCUUUCAGGGUUUUGUUUUGUUUAAAAGAUUUUUUUUGAUGUGGACCACUUUUAAAGUCUUCAUUGAAUUUGUUACAGUAUUGCUUCUGUUUUAUGUUUUGGUUUUUGACCACAAGGCACGUAGGAUCUUGGCUCCCCGACCAGGGUUCGAACCCACACCUCCUGCACUGGAAGCUGAAGUCUUAACCACUGGCCCACCAGGGAAGUCCCAGAGCUUUCAGUUUUAAAGCUGGGAUAAUCCUAGGCAAACCAGGACAAGCUGUCACCCUAGGUCGAGGUGACAAUGGGGUAAGAGGUACCAGGACAUACGACUGCUGAUUUCCAAAUAUUUGGAGGGGCUUAUUCUCAACUGCCCUCAUGUGGACCAGAUCAGUGGUAGAACUUAGCCAGAGGCAGGGCUGAACUCAAGGUAAGAAAGGCCCUGAGAUUCCCAGGGAACUUUCUCAGGAGAAGGAACAGCACAGGGCAGGUCUGCGUGAGGAGGUGGUCAUGAUUCCUGGGGUAUGAAAACCCUUUAAACACACACGCACCAGAAAAUUCAUCAUGGUCACAACACCUGCAUUCAGCGAUGCUUUUAUUAUAUUAAUAUAUAUUAUAUAUCAUUCUACAUAUUAAUAUAUAUUAUUCUAUUAUAUAUAUUAUUCUAUUACAUUAAUCACAACCGUGUCUUGAUACAUUUGGAAACUGGGAGACAUGAUUUAUCCUUUCUAUACAGAAUGCUCGGCUCCCAGCUCCCAUGCAAGUCCUCCACCCCCUCACCACUUCCAAGUUUGCCAGCCACAGGGGAAAGGGUGAGGCUGGAUGUUGCUUGAGAUUCCUUUCAACUCCAGGGUUUUGUGUGUCCUGGGCUUGGCAUCGUGCUUGAGCUACAGUAAGUGCUCAGGAAAUGGUGGUUACCACUUCUCAUCAUCAUCAUCAGUGGCAGGGAGCAUGCGCAUGUCCUUUCCCAAUCACUUCUUUUCCUUCCCAGACACCACGCUGCCUGCGGCAGAGCCCUCACGGGUAACUGAGUAACCAGAGACCCGACAGAGGCCCCGCUGAGUAAGGGGUUUGUUUUCUCACAGAAGAGGAAGUCUGGAGAUCAGCAGCUGCAGGGAAGUCAUUCAAGAGGCAGGCUCGGGCUUCCCGGGUGGCGCAGUGGUUGAGAGUCCGCCUGCCGAUGCAGGGGACACGGGUUCGUGCCCCGGUCCAGGAAGAUCCCACAUGCCGCGGAGCGGCUGGGCCCUUGAGCCAUGGCCGCUGAGCCUGUGCGUCCGGAGCCUGUGCUCCGCAAUGAAAGAGGCAGCCUCCUUCUUUCUUCCUGCUCUAACUUCCUCAGUGUGAAGCUCUUGUAGCAAAGUGGCUGCUGCAACUCCAAGCCUUGCACCUGAAUUCCAGGAAGGAAAAAAAGGGAAAGGGAAGGGCAUAAGAACACCCCAGCUGUGCCAGACCCCUUUUAAAAGCCAUUCCUGGCAGCCCCAUGUAGAAACUCCUUGGAUGUCAUUGGUCAGUACUGGGUCACACAGCUACUGCUGGCUGCAAGGGCAUUGCCACAGCAUUUACGGGACACAUUGCCACCCUGAACAACACUGGGAUCUGCUUAGUAAGGAAGAAAAGAAGAACGGAUAUUGGGUAGGCAGAGAACAGUGUCUGCCUCAGCCACCUCUGGGCAUAUACACUUGUCACCUCCCUGGCUGUCCCUGCUCCUUGGGAAACUAAAAACCACCAGUCCUAAUGGCAGGGCCAGAGCCUGCAGCCCCAGUAGGAGGGCAGGGAUGUCAAGAAGAGAGCGAGUACAGGCUGCCAUGCUGUGUCUCGGCAGGGAGCUCCGUGAUGCCCAAAGCAGAACUGGUCGAAGUUAACCCUGGGCCCAAGGAAUUUUUGUUUGUGACAACAGAACUGUUGGAAAUGGAAAAAGGAUUUGGCCUAGGUGUGCAGAACUUCUGAGGAACCUCUAAGAACAAAUCCCAUUUCUGGGCUACCAGGUCUUCCACCUUUUGCCUUUACCCCAGGUAGCCCCUGGCCACUCCAGCCAGCCUCACUGCAGCCCCAGGUUUGCUUGCUCAGAAACCCCUUCUGCCUGGAACGGCCUGUCCCUUGAUGUUCUCCCAACUUGCUGUCUCUUCUAAACCCACCACAAAUCCAGCCUAUCUUGAAUAGUUUCCUGCCUUGAAGAUCCACCCACUGCAUCAUUACAUUCUAAGAAACACAACGGACCUCUGUAUGUAUAUAAAUUGUCUAGGCAACUGUGUUAUCUAUGUAUUACUCAGAUGAUUUACUUAUCAGCACUUUGUUCUCACUAUUAGAUGCAUGCCCUGUGAUGUACCUGUGGAAAGAAUGGUAAGGAGGGAAAGAAAAGCAGAAUGGAAUGUGGGUGUUCUAACAUAUUGUUGUGUUAUCUAGGCUGCCGUACGUGGGCAGAUGCCUUCCUCUGUGGCGUGUGAAGUUGGUUUUGGUUUCCCUGAUAACAUACUCUAUGCAAGUUUGAUUGGUGAACAGUAGUAUCAUAAACAGUUUCAUAAGUCAGUUGCUCCAGGAAGUUUAUGGUGUACAAAUAUUAACAACUACUGGAGAUUUUUCUUGGAAGACUGUAAACUUCUAAGAUUAUUGCCAGGAAAAAAACACUUUAAAUUCCUUUAUUUCACUCUGUAAUGCAUAUUCUCAAAUAGGAAGGAGUAAACUUUAUAAUUUCAAGUUUAAAUAUUUUUUGCUUGGGAAAUUAAAACAGUCCCAAUUUGUAAUUUAUUUCACAUCACAGUUUACAGAUCAUCGAACAGAAUGUUAAUUCAUUCUCAGAAUGGCAAACAUCCUGUCUUAAGGGAGUGAUGGAAAAACAAAAGCCCAUGCCAAGUUCACCAGAAUAUGUAUAACUGGUCUACAGUGAUGUUGUGUUCUUAACUAGCGUGACAUGCCAAAAAUGAGGGCUUACUUUGGAAAACUGCAAAAUCCUAUACAUGCAAUACUGACUGUGUUCACUUCAUUACAUUUUAUAAAACUAUCUGUUGGCAAUUGUGCGUCAAAAUGGGCUUGUCAAAUCUUUGCAAGAGAAGGAGUGUUGUGGUCUUUUUUUCCUCAAAGCUACACAAUCUAAAUUACUUUUAGUUUCAAAUGUGAAACAUGGUGGAUUUUUAAAGAAUUGUUUCAUGCCCACAGGUAAGUGGAGCAGAGAAUUGCAUAACAGUUCUCUUCAUCUGCUCAAGCUUGGCAAUAACUCCGCCUCAAGAGUGGUCCAGCAGAGAGGCUGUCCACACUGUGUGCUUUUGCUAACACCAGUGCUGAGAUCUACAUGUAAUUUGAGUACAGGCUUCUGCUUUAGAAGCCACCAGUUUCUGGUUAGCCUAAAUGCUACUCACACAGUGUCCUAAGGCUGUCGAGUUCCUCCUGCACCAGAGUUGGCCCAAGGGGACCUAAGUCCACUCAGGCUUAUUGAGAUGUGGAGAGAGUGCCCCCCACAAUACAACUAAGACUUUGUUACAUUCUCCCAUGGCCCCCAUGUUAACCAGAAUUAAGUGCCACUUUCACUAGUGGUGCCAGAGGCAGCCUGCCACUCUCUUCCAAAAAUUAAAUCUUUCAAUUUAGUACUAAAGAUUGAGUGCUUCCUUCAGUAUUCUUAUCUUGAAAUAAGAUAAUCCCAACUUCCCUAACAACAAAGUCAUAUUUUCCGGCCUUAAUUAGCUUUGUUGCUGUAACCUAAACCCCUCCAAUCCAUCCUGAGUCUCUGUAUGUGUUGUGGCACAUACAAAAUGGUGCUUGGAGAAAGAAUGGGCCAGACCUAAGUGUGAACCCCUUCCCUGACCCCUCUAGGGAUGCACCCUUCGGCAAGUCACUUACCUCUCUCUGGCCCCCAGUUUACCCCUCUAAAUUGUGGGGAUUAAAUGAGAUAAUUCUGUUACAGAAAGUAUCCAGCAUUGUGUCUGAAACACAGCUCCCAAAAAUACUACUUUCUCUUUCUUUCCCCAAAUCAUUAUUGUAGUGAAAGUCAGUUGUCUGUAACUAUGUGUCUACUGUGAUCAUCACCAGCCACAAGUGGCUAUGUAUAUUUAAAUCAAUUAAGAUUAAAUAUGAUUUAAGAUUCAGUUCUUUGCACUAACCAGAUUUCAAGCAUUAAGUAGUCACUUGUAGCUAGUGGCUACCAUAUUGGACUGUGUGGAUGUAGAACAUUUUCGUCAGAAAGUUCUAUUGGAUUGUGCUGGUUACCGUAUUCACUUGGAUUUCAAGGCUUCCAAACACAUCCAUGUCAUUCUCUACCUAAACUGUGUCAUGUGAAAUCUUUCCUCGGUUAAAAGGAAUAAAUGCAACCACUUU